rnacentral:rRNA from 1 species
UACAGAGGGGGCAAGCGUUGUUCGGAAUUACUGGGCGUAAAGGGCGCGUAGGCGGCCUUCUAAGUCGAACGUGAAAUCCCCGGGCUCAACCCGGGAACUGCGUCCGAUACUGGAAGGCUUGAAUCCGGGAGAGGGAUGCGGAAUUCCAGGUGUAGCGGUGAAAUGCGCAGAUAUCAGGAGGAACACCGGUGGCGAAGGCGGGUCUCUGGGCCGAAAUUGACGCUGAGGAGCGAAAGCGUGGGGAGCAAAACAGG